GUGGGGAAUUUUGGACAAUGGGCGCAAGCCUGAUCCAGCCAUUCCGCGUGCAGGAUGAAGGCCUUCGGGUUGUAAACUGCUUUUGUACGGAACGAAAAGCCUCUGGUUAAUACCUCGGAGGGAUGACGGUACCUGAAGAAUAAGCACCGGCUAACUACGUGCCAGCAGCCGCGGUAAUACGUAGGGUGCGAGCGUUAAUCGGAAUUACUGGGCGUAAAGCGUGCGCAGGCGGUUUUGUAAGAUCGAUGUGAAAUCCCCGGGCUCAACCUGGGAACUGCAUUGGUGACUGCAAGGCUGGAGUGCGGCAGAGGGGGAUGGAAUUCCGCGUGUAGCAGUGAAAUGCGUAGAUAUGCGGAGGAACACCGAUGGCGAAGGCAAUCCCCUGGGCCUGCACUGACGCUCAUGCACGAAAGCGUGGGGAGCAAACAGGAUUAGAUACCCGUGUAGUCC
rnacentral:rRNA from 1 species